UUAAGAGAGAACCAUAGAAAAAGUUUUUCCAGUUUCAAAAGUUCUUCCUUCCCUCUUUUCUACUUAUUCUAAGAUCUAACAUUCUUCAUCAUUUUUUUAAGAAUUAACAGAGAAAAUCUUUACAAGGAGUUCUACAAUCGGUCAAACUUAAGUACUAUGGUGGUGGUGGUGCUAAAGGAAAACGUUGGUGGACUCAUUCUUUCAGGUGUAUAAUUUGGCACAGAAGCUACAGCAGUGCACUUCAUCCUCCCCCAUCCUUCAAUUCGCUAUUUUGGAACUUUUUUUAUGCACUUUGAAGUUUGCAUUGUCUGUUUACAAAUUGUGACAUGGAUGCUCAUUUGAAAAAUAUAUGUAUUAUUUUUCCUGAACUAGGGAUAAAAUACUUCACAAAAAAUAAAAUAGUAAUAGUAUGAGAAAAAUAAGAUUUCUGUAAUAAGUACAAAUUGGAAGAAUACAUUUUCAUUCUACUCACUUCCACCAGAACUUCCAUUCCAUCAUUGAAUACCCAAAUAUUGAAAGGUUUAUACUACAUUUCCACUCAUAAAAAUCAGAAAACGCCAAGAAAGAAAUUGGAGCACGCUAACAUUCAAGCAAACAAUGGGUGUCAUUUAAAAUACAUUAGAAAAAACUGCAGAAUUUUACAGAUAACUAAAAAAA